CUCAGUGUCUCGACCUUGAUGCCUGGAAAAGCCUGGACCCCUGUUUUGUGCUGAGGAUGUCUUCUCCCCUUAAACCAGGAUUGAUUCUGGAGUGUAAGUCAGCAAUAUGAACUUGAUGCUCAUUUUGGCCUAAAGAUGGAGUCAUGAUCUGUCCCAGGCUGAAGUACAGUGGCACGAUCAUAGCUCACUGCAGCCUCAAAGGCCUGGGCUCAACGGAUCCUUCCUCCUCAGCCUCUUGAAUAGCAGAUUUUAUACACAUCUGCAAAGUCUUUGGCCCUAUCCACCCUUCCUCUUGACUCUGCACUGGCCUUAGGCACACUGCAUGACUUUCCAGGCUGGGCCAAUAAAAGCCAUGCAGCUUCCAUUUGGUUCUCUUUGGUUGCUUGUUCAUCCCUCUGGAGAUGUUUCUUAUGAGAACCCAGAAGCCAUGCUAUAAGAAGCCACAAGGAGAGGCCAUGUAUAGAAACUCCAGUCAACAGUUCCAGAUGAACCUGUCCUUCAACACUCAGAGCCAAGCUGCCAGACAUAGACGGGAUUUUACCAUGUUGCCCAGGCUGGUCUCAAAUUCCUGAGCUAAAGCAGUCUGCCCGCUUCGUGAGCCACCACAUCCAGCCUGCUUCCUUUUCUUCAAGGAGCCCAGAACUGAGCCCAAGACUCAGGACAUGGUCGGAAUUCAGUAAGAUGCUUACUUCCUUAAUUUUGGACAGUCUUCUGAUAAUGCAGCAAACUAUCGUGGAAAGUGGUUCUGUAGCUGCGUCACACACUAGGUCCCUAUUGGGCUUUGUGAACGAUGAAAACUAUUCCGAAAUCUGUUUCUUGUGAGUUUUUGCCAAAUCCAAGCUUGUCUUUAGACCAAUUGAUUCUUUUUUGGGGGGAGUGUUAUUCUAAAUUCAAGGCUUUAUUUACAUUUAAAUUAUAUUUUACAUUUUUUCUAAUCUUUUCAUAUUUUAGAUAUGCAUGUGAAUAUAUAUAUAUAUAUAAUAUAAAAUUGUGAUUAACGGUAUAAGCUUUAGAGUCAGAAUGAACUAGGCUGAAAACUGAGCAACCUCACCUACUAGUAAUAUGACCUUGAAUAAGGUGUUUUACCCCAGAGAGCCUCAGUUUAUCAUGUGUAAAAGGGGGGUAAUAACACCAGAUAAUACAGAGAUUUGUUAGGGAUUGAAGAUUAUGUAUAUAUAUACACAUAUACAUAAAGUCUAUAGUAUAAUACCUGACACAGAGUAAUCAUUCCA
rnacentral:lncRNA from 1 species